AUUGAACGCUGGCGGCAUGCUUUACACAUGCAAGUCGAACGGCAGCACGGGGGCAACCCUGGUGGCGAGUGGCGAACGGGUGAGUAAUGCAUCGGAACGUAUCCUGGAGUGGGGGAUAACCCAGCGAAAGCUGGGCUAAUACCGCAUAUGCUCUACGGAGGAAAGGGGGGGACCUGCAAGGGCCUCCUGCUCUGGGCGCGGCCGAUGUCCGAUUAGCUAGUUGGUGGGGUAAUGGCCUACCAAGGCGACGAUCGGUAGCGGGUCUGAGAGGUUGAGCAGCCACACUGGGACUGAGACACGGCCCAGACGCCGACGGGCGGCAGCAGUGGGGAAUUUUGGACAAUGGGGGCAACCCUGAUCCAGCCAUGCCGCGUGAGUGAAGAAGGCCUUCGGGUUGUAAAGCUCUUUUGGUCGGGAAGAAAGCGCCUCCUCAAAUACGGGGGGUGGUUGACGGUACCGGCAGAAUAAGCACCGGCUAACUACGUGCCAGCCGCCGCCGUAACAC
rnacentral:rRNA from 1 species